GGUUAAGCGACUAAGCGUACACGGUGGAUGCCCUGGCAGUCAGAGGCGAUGAAGGACGUGCUAAUCUGCGAAAAGCGUCGGUAAGGUGAUAUGAACCGUUAUAACCGGCGAUGUCCGAAUGGGGAAACCCAGUGCAAUUCGUUGCACUAUCGUUAACUGAAUACAUAGGUUAACGAGGCGAACCGGGGGAACUGAAACAUCUAAGUACCCCGAGGAAAAGAAAUCAACCGAGAUUCCCCCAGUAGCGGCGAGCGAACGGGGAGCAGCCCAGAGUCUGAAUCAGCUUGUGUGUUAGUGGAACGGUCUGGAAAGUCCGACGGUACAGGGUGAUAGUCCCGUACACCAAAAUGCACAGGCUGUGAACUCGAAGAGUAGGGCGGGACACGUGGUAUCCUGUCUGAAUAUGGGGACCAUCCUCCAAGGCUAAAUACUCCUGACUGACCGAUAGUGAACCAGUACCGUGAGGGAAAGGCGAAAAGAACCCCGGCGAGGGAGUGAAAAAGAACCUGAAACCGUGUACGUACAAGCAGUGGGAGCACCUUCGGGUGUGACUGCGUACUUUUGUAUAAUGGGUCAGCGACUUAUAUUCUGUAGCAAGGUUAACCGUAUAGGGAGCCGCAGGAAACCGAGUCUUAACUGGGCGUUAAGUUGCAGGGUAUAGACCCGAAACCCGGUGAUCUAGCCAUGGGCAGGUUGAAGGUUGGGUAACACUAACUGGAGGACCGAACCGACUAAUGUUGAAAAAUUAGCUGAUGACUUGUGGCACGGGGUGAAAGGCCAAUCAAACCGGGAGAUAGCUGGUUCUCCCCGAAAGCUAUUUAGGUAGCGCCUCGUGAAUUCAUCUUCGGGGGUAGAGCACUGUUUCGGCUAGGGGGUCAUCCCGACUUACCAACCCGAUGCAAACUACGAAUACCGAAGAAUGUUAUCACGGGAGACACACGGCGGGUGCUAACGUCCGUCGUGAAGAGGGAAACAACCCAGACCGCCAGCUAAGGUCCCAAAGUCAUGGUUAAGUGGGAAACGAUGGGAAGCCACAGACAGCCAGGAUGUUGGCUUAGAAGCAGCCAUCAUUUAAAGAAAGCGUAAUAGCUCACUGGUCGAGUCGGCCUGCGCGGAAGAUGUAACGGGGCUAAACCAUGCACCGAAGCUGCGGCAGCGACACUAUGUGUUGUUGGGUAGGGGAGCGUUCUGUAAGCCUGCGAAGGUGACCUGUGAGGGUUGCUGGAGGUAUCAGAAGUGCGAAUGCUGACAUAAGUAACGAUAAAGCGGGUGAAAAGCCCGCUCGCCGGAAGACCAAGGGUUCCUGUCCAACGUUAAUCGGGGCAGGGUGAGUCGACCCCUAAGGCGAGGCCGAAAGGCGUAGUCGAUGGGAAACAGGUUAAUAUUCCUGUACUUGGUGUUACUGCGAAGGGGGGACGGAGAAGGCUAUGUUAGCCGGGCGACGGUUGUCCCGGUUUAAGCAUGUAGGCUGGUUGUCCAGGCAAAUCCGGAUAAUCAAGGCUGAGGUGUGAUGACGAGGCACUACGGUGCUGAAGUAACAAAUGCCCUGCUUCCAGGAAAAGCCUCUAAGCAUCAGGUAACAUUAAAUCGUACCCCAAACCGACACAGGUGGUCAGGUAGAGAAUACCAAGGCGCUUGAGAGAACUCGGGUGAAGGAACUAGGCAAAAUGGUGCCGUAACUUCGGGAGAAGGCACGCUGGUGUGUAGGUGAAGUCCCUGCGGAUGGAGCUGAGACCAGUCGAAGAUACCAGCUGGCUGCAACUGUUUAUUAAAAACACAGCACUGUGCAAACACGAAAGUGGACGUAUACGGUGUGACGCCUGCCCGGUGCCGGAAGGUUAAUUGAUGGGGUUAUCCGUAAGGAGAAGCUCUUGAUCGAAGCCCCGGUAAACGGCGGCCGUAACUAUAACGGUCCUAAGGUAGCGAAAUUCCUUGUCGGGUAAGUUCCGACCUGCACGAAUGGCGUAAUGAUGGCCAGGCUGUCUCCACCCGAGACUCAGUGAAAUUGAACUCGCUGUGAAGAUGCAGUGUACCCGCGGCAAGACGGAAAGACCCCGUGAACCUUUACUAUAGCUUGACACUGAACAUUGAGCCUUGAUGUGUAGGAUAGGUGGGAGGCUUUGAAGCGUGGACGCCAGUCUGCGUGGAGCCAACCUUGAAAUACCACCCUUUAAUGUUUGAUGUUCUAACGUUGGCCCCUGACCGGGGUUGCGGACAGUGUCUGGUGGGUAGUUUGACUGGGGCGGUCUCCUCCCAAAGCGUAACGGAGGAGCACGAAGGUUAGCUAAUCCUGGUCGGACAUCAGGAGGUUAGUGCAAUGGCAUAAGCUAGCUUGACUGCGAGCGUGACGGCGCGAGCAGGUGCGAAAGCAGGUCAUAGUGAUCCGGUGGUUCUGAAUGGAAGGGCCAUCGCUCAACGGAUAAAAGGUACUCCGGGGAUAACAGGCUGAUACCGCCCAAGAGUUCAUAUCGACGGCGGUGUUUGGCACCUCGAUGUCGGCUCAUCACAUCCUGGGGCUGGAGUAGGUCCCAAGGGUAUGGCUGUUCGCCAUUUAAAGUGGUACGCGAGCUGGGUUUAGAACGUCGUGAGACAGUUCGGUCCCUAUCUGCCGUGGGCGCUGGAGAAUUGAGGGGGGCUGCUCCUAGUACGAGAGGACCGGAGUGGACGCAUCACUGGUGUUCGGGUUGUCAUGCCAAUGGCACUGCCCGGUAGCUAAAUGCGGAAGAGAUAAGUGCUGAAAGCAUCUAAGCACGAAACUUGCCCCGAGAUGAGUUCUCCCUGAGACUUUAAGUCUCCUGAAGGAACGUUGAAGACGACGACGUUGAUAGGCCGGGUGUGUAAGCGCAGCGAUGCGUUGAGCUAACCGGUACUAAUGAACCGUGAGGCUUAACCUU
rnacentral:rRNA from 1 species